rnacentral:lncRNA from 1 species
UAAAAUUCUUACGAGGGUCCAACUUAAUAAUUCUGCUGGCUCUUAAUGAAUGAUUUUUUCCCCUGCGGAAAUAUCAUAGGAUGAAAUUGCAUGUGGAGUGUGAUAGAAGUGUAUUCAUCCUUAGGUUAGUAUAGAAAGUACUGGAUUCUGGCCCACGUAUUUCUUUUAUGCUCACCUAUAAAAUAUGUGUGUAUUUCAGGCAUUCAUUUGGGAUUAUUUAGAUACUCCCUUACCCUCAUAUGUCAUCCAAGGGGUUAUUCAUAACCGUGAGAUAGAUUAAUGAUGCCCUCGGAAAAGUGGAAACUGAAAAUAUAAACAUAUUUUCGUCAAUACAAUUGACAGUUAAUUGGCUGGUGUUCAUGGGGGGUUGAAGUAAAAUAGACACCAUAACUCUAAAAAAAAUUUUUUUUUUCUCAUUUGGAGCCCACUUUGUUCAUACUACAUAGGAAGCUAAUGUUUCAAUUAAAUGUGACAUAGGUAUAUAUAUUUACUUACCUAAUUGUCUUCUUUCUGUUAAUAAUACAAUCAUAUAUUUGUCUA